UAGAUGUACAUUGUACCGCGAAGCCCGGCGACGCCCUACGCUAUGUAUUGAAGUGUGAGGACGUCUUUCCUGGGAAAUAUUCGUCUCAAUAGUUGGAUCAUUCUGUUUCUGGAUAUAUAGCUACGGAUACACUAUAUGGAACUACCCUUGUGUUUGUUAAGAGUUUAGUGCUGAAACAUUGUGAAGUGGUGAACUGAAAACAAUAUCUUCUGAACUUGUGGCGUGGAUAUAAUUUCUAUUUUUCAAACACUACAGUAAACUACGGUUAUAACGAACUCAAAGGGACCAUUUAUUUUAGUUCGUUAUAAUCGUAGUUCGUUAUAAGCAUAUAAACAGCAUAACGACAGGAAAUAGUCGGAACAAAAAAAAAAAUUGGAGACACUCAGCCUAUCCCGGAAUUUGUACAAAAAUGUCCUUCUUUGGAAUGGAAAGUUCUAGUUAUCAUUCCUUUGGAUCUACACAUUAAAUAUCUGCGGCUCUGACAUUUCCAUAUUAAGAAGGAUCCCAACGUAAUUCCAACACCCAAAUCCAACUCUGGCAAGACGUUUCAGAGCCGUGUACAGUGUAACUAAUCCUGGCCUGCUGCAGUGUUGCCGCACCAUCCGCACCGCAAAUCUCGAUUGCCCGAAUGUCACAGGUCACAGAUUACAGAUGAAACCCGAAGGAACCGAAUCUGAAAAUUGCGAUCAAAACUGACUUGUUUCUUGUCAUGUUUUGAAAUCACUUCAUGCAAUUAACAAAGGUCACUGCUGGUUGUCUUUUCAUCUUAUGUGAAGAAACAAGCAACAGCUCAGUCGUCCCCUGCUGGUGUGAAGUUAAACACCCUGCUUCUGUGAAGAGAAAUCUGCUACUGAUGUGAAGGUACAUGCUUAUAGUGUGAAAAGGGUAUCCUGUGUGCACGGUCUCCUAGUAGGGUGAAGGGAUUCCCUGUUUACAUAACCACCUGAUUGGAUGAAGGAUUAUUCUUCCUGAACAAUCUCCUGAUAGGGUGAGGGUUUUUCUGCCUGUACAGUCGCCCAGUAGGAUGAAGGUAUCUUCUAUCUGUAGGGUGAAUGGAUGUUCAGUUUGUACAGACUCCUGGUAGGGUGAAAGGGUCUUCUGUCUGUAUUGUCACCUAGUUGGAUGAAGGUAUUCUUCCAUCUGUAUAAUCCUCUGGAAGGGUGAAUGGGUGUUCAGUGUGUACAGUCUUCUGUUUUGGUGAAGGGGUCUUCUGCCUGAACAGUCUCCAGGUAGGGUGAAGGAGUCGUCUGUCUAUAUACACUCUUGGGUGUAAAAGCUGCCUGACACAUGUAAUUGUUUCUUUAUUGAUUGUUUAUGAGGUUUCCUGCUAGUGGGGAGGGAAACAACCUGCUUCUGUGAAGAGAAAUCUGCUACUGGUGUGAAGCCCCCCUGCUGGAAAAUCUGCUACUGGUGUGAAGGGGUACUUCCUGCUGGUGUGAAGGGAAACCUCCUGUCCCUGCUGGUGUUAAGGGAAACCUCCUGUUUCUGUGAAACUUCCUCCUGUGUAAAGGGAAACUUUCUGAUGGUGGGAAGGGGAAAUUGUCGCUGCCAAGGGUAACCUUCUGCUGGUGUGAAGGUGAACCUACUCCUGAUGUGAAAUUGAACAUCCUGCUUGAGCCAAUGGGAAAAGCCGUUUUCAUUGUCUGAGCCUCUUGAGUUAUCUUGGUGCUGCUGGAUGAUAGUGCUUGUUCACCACGCACGACUAGGAGAAGAGUACUGAAAUGCUGUACAUGCCAAUGUUUCUGAGAACAUUUCUUCAAGGUUUGUAAGCUAGUGCUAAUCUCUUGUUGGUCUGUCUAUUUGGUCAGUUGGUGUAAUUGAGCAUUCUUGCCUUAUUAUGUUGCCUUAUCUAAAAUAUCUUUUUCACAAGCAUUUGUGAGUUGCCCUCUGGCUUGAUAAGGUUAAAGAACAGAGGGUCCAUUAUCCUCUCUUGACGCAGGGACAACCUGUUUUCAUUUUCUCUGAGCCAAGUCCUCUUGGUGCUGUUUGACGUUAAUGCCUUACACAACGUUCGGUGAGGGGAAGGGUACCGACUUGUAGGUUAUGGCUGUUGUCCGAAGAGCGAGUCUACAGGUCUCGUAAGUUUGUGUUAAUUUUGGAAUAGCAAAGCCUCAAUGCUAACCGGACUCUCGCGCAUUAGUUUUAAUUGAUCUCAAAUAAUUCAACAAGCACUAAGAUCUGAAGCUACGCUUUGGUACCUGAUGUGUCUCUGACGGAAGUAAUUUGUUGUUGUCAUUUCUAGGUGUGUAUUAGUCAUAAGACCACACAGGGGCGGUCGGGUAGCCUAGUGGUUAAAGCGUUCGCUCGUCACGCCAAAGACCCGGGUUCGAUUCCCGACAUGGGUACAAUGUGUGAAGCCCAUUUCUGGUGUCCCCCGAGGUGAUAUUGCUGGAAUAUUGCUAAAAGCGGCGUAAAACCAUACUCACUCACUCAUAAGACCACCAUCAACGUACCUCUCAAACUGCUGACAAGUUCAAAACGGUCAAAGGGAAGUAACUCCAUGAUACUUCAGUUGUGCUGGGUAAAGAUCCAUGUCAUAGGGUAGUUCUGUUGUUAUGUCAUCUCCGAACUAUCACUUUUAGUCACACUGACACAAGUUCAACAAAUUAUAUUUAAACACACAGAUUUAGGUUUACAAUCAGAAAAGAAAUACAACGAGUCAAGUAAGUGGCAGACGCAAUAAAUAACACGAAUGUC